GAUGAACGCUGGCGGCGUGCCUAAUACAUGCAAGUCGAGCGAACGGACGAGAAGCUUGCUUCUCUGAUGUUAGCGGCGGACGGGUGAGUAACACGUGGAUAACCUACCUAUAAGACUGGGAUAACUUCGGGAAACCGGAGCUAAUACCGGAUAAUAUUUUGAACCGCAUGGUUCAAAAGUGAAAGACGGUCUUGCUGUCACUUAUAGAUGGAUCCGCGCUGCAUUAGCUAGUUGGUAAGGUAACGGCUUACCAAGGCAACGAUGCAUAGCCGACCUGAGAGGGUGAUCGGCCACACUGGAACUGAGACACGGUCCAGACUCCUACGGGAGGCAGCAGUAGGGAAUCUUCCGCAAUGGGCGAAAGCCUGACGGAGCAACGCCGCGUGAGUGAUGAAGGUCUUCGGAUCGUAAAACGCUGUUAUUAGGGAAGAACAUAUGUGUAAGUAACUGUGCACAUCUUGACGAUACCUAAUCAGAAAGCCACGGCUAACUACGU
rnacentral:rRNA from 1 species